rnacentral:misc_RNA from 1 species
GAUGAAGAACGUAGCAAAAUGCGAUAAGUAAUGUGAAUUGCAGAAUUCAGUGAAUCAUCGAAUCUUUGAACGCACAUUGCGCCCGCCAGUAUUCUGGCGGGCAUGCCUGUUCGAGCGUCAUUUCAACCCUCAAGCACAGCUUGGUGUUGGGACUCGCGUUAAUUCGCGUUCCUCAAAUUGAUUGGCGGUCACGUCGAGCUUCCAUAGCGUAGUAGUAAAACCCUCGUUACUGGUAAUCGUCGCGGCCACGCCGUUAAACCCCAACGUCUGAAUGUUGACCUCGGAUCAGGUAGGAAUACCCGCUGAACUUAAGCAUAUCAAUAAGCGGAGGA